AAGCAUAAUUAAAAUUCGUCAUAUUUGAAUUUUUAUUGCAAAUGGCAUAGCAUUUAUAAACAAAAGAGACUCCAUUCAAAGCUGUCAUGAUGUGAAUGAACUUUCUACAAAACCUGAAAUGCGUGUGCGACUGGAGCAAAAUCGAGAGUGUAAAAAGCGUGUCUAGAUUAAAUUGACACUAAUGGAAAACUUCCACUUUUGGAUGGAAAAUACUUUCAAGAAACAAAUUGAAGCGAUUUUCACCUAUUUGGGUUGUUCCCGAAUACGUUUUCGAUUUUCUUCUGCUCAGCUUCAAAUUUAUUUUCAAAGAUCUAUGUAAAAUUGAAGACUAGCUGAAACGAUUCCGAAAAAUGCAUUCUGUAUGUCAAAAUGGGGUAUGAAUACUAUGACCAUGCUCAAAAGCCCGAAAACACUUUAUCAGAUGAUACUACUUAUGGGAAUUUGUACUUAACUGGAAUGGUCAAUUUACGGAUAGUUAACUAUCCAAAAGCGACAACAAUUAUCUAUCUAAUCACUUAAAUAUUUUUAUUGAGUGUACACACUUAGACAUAUUCAUACAUACAUACCUGUAUAUGUAUGUACGUGCAUAUGUAUGAAUUUUUUGAAUUAUCCAAAAAAGCUGCAACUCAAUAAAAAGUUAAAUAUCUUGA